rnacentral:rRNA from 1 species
UGCAGUCGUACGAUGAAGCCCAGCUUGCUGGGUGGAUUAGUGGCGAACGGGUGAGUAACACGUGAGUAACCUGCCCUUGACUCUGGGAUAAGCGCUGGAAACGGCGUCUAAUACCGGAUACGACCUGCCCCGGCAUCGGGUGCGGGUGGAAAGUUUUUCGGUCAAGGAUGGACUCGCGGCCUAUCAGGUAGUUGGUGAGGUAAUGGCUCACCAAGCCGACGACGGGUAGCCGGCCUGAGAGGGUGACCGGCCACACUGGGACUGAGACACGGCCCAGACUCCUACGGGAGGCAGCAGUGGGGAAUAUUGCACAAUGGGCGAAAGCCUGAUGCAGCAACGCCGCGUGGGGGAUGACGGCCUUCGGGUUGUAAACCUCUUUUAGUAGGGAAGAAGGGCUUCGGCUUGACGGUACCUGCAGAAAAAGCACCGGCUAACUACGUGCCAGCAGCCGCGGUAAUACGUAGGGUGCAAGCGUUGUCCGGAAUUAUUGGGCGUAAAGAGCUCGUAGGCGGUUUGUCGCGUCUGCUGUGAAAACCCGAGGCUCAACCUCGGGCCUGCAGUGGGUACGGGCAGACUAGAGUGCGGUAGGGGAGAAUGGAAUUCCUGGUGUAGCGGUGGAAUGCGCAGAUAUCAGGAGGAACACCGAUGGCGAAGGCAGUUCUCUGGGCCGUUACUGACGCUGAGGAGCGAAAGCGUGGGGAGCGAACAGGAUUAGAUACCCUGGUAGUCCACGCCGUAAACGUUGGGAACUAGAUGUGGGGACCUUUCCACGGUCUCCGUGUCGCAGCUAACGCAUUAAGUUCCCCGCCUGGGGAGUACGGCCGCAAGGCUAAAACUCAAAGGAAUUGACGGGGGCCCGCACAAGCGGCGGAGCAUGCGGAUUAAUUCGAUGCAACGCGAAGAACCUUACCAAGGCUUGACAUAUACCGGAAACUUCCAGAAAUGGUUGCCCCGCAAGGUCGGUAUACAGGUGGUGCAUGGUUGUCGUCAGCUCGUGUCGUGAGAUGUUGGGUUAAGUCCCGCAACGAGCGCAACCCUCGUUCUAUGUUGCCAGCACGUCAUGGUGGGACUC